UUACUCUCUGCUCCCCCAGACUGGGAAAGCCUGCAGCUGGGCGGGAUGAUUUUUGGAGGGCUCCUGUGCAUCGCUGGAAUCCUGAUAGCCCUGAGUGGAAAGUGCAAGUGCAAGUACAGUCAGAAGCACAGCCCCUUACCUGAGAAGGCCAUUCCACUCAUCACUCCAG